AGCAGCCGCGGUAAUUCCAGCUCCAAUAGCGUAUAUUAAAGUUGUUGCAGUUAAAAGCUCGUAGUUGAAUUUCGGGAUUAGCGCAUCGGUCGUGCCUCACGGGGUAUGAACUGGUGCAGUCAAUUUCUCACCUUCUGGAGAACCGCGAUGUCCUUAAUUGGAUGCCGCGGGGAACCAGGACCUUUACUUUGAAAAAUUAGAGUGUUUAAAGCAGGCUAUUUUUGCUUGAAUACAUUAGCAUGGAAUAAUAAAAUAGGACGGCAUGGUUCUAUUUUGUUGGUUUCUAGGACCACCGUAAUGAUUAAUAGGGAUAGUUGGGGGCAUUAGUAUUCAAUUGUCAGAGGUGAAAUUCUUGGAUUUAUUGAAGACUAACUACUGCGAAAGCAUUUUGCCAAGGAUGUUUUCAUUAAUCAAGAACGAAAGUUAGGGGAUCGAAGACGAUCAGAUACCGUCGUAGUCUUAACCAUAAACUAUGACCGACUAGGAAUCAAGACGAUGUUUAAUUUUUAAUGUACUUCGU
rnacentral:misc_RNA from 1 species